GAAACGCGAUAGUUAAUGUGAAUUGCAGAAUUCAGUGAAUCAUCGAGUCUUUGAACGCACAUUGCGCCCAUAGGUAUUCCUUUGGGCAUGUCUGUUUGAGCGUCAUUACAACCCUCAGCUAACCGCUGGUUUUGAACCUGAACGGGUGACACCGCGCCGGUUUUAAAGUUGUAAGCUCUGCUGGCCGCUCUGCCCAACCAGAACAUAUUAAGCACUACUUGUCCGGGUGAAGCUGAACGGUACGGCCUGAACAAAACCUACCCACUCUCAAGGUUUGACCUCAGAUCAGACAAGGAUACCCGCUGAACUUAAGC
rnacentral:misc_RNA from 1 species